GACGAACGCUGGCGGCGUGCUUAACACAUGCAAGUCGAACGGAAAGGCCCUGCUUGCAGGGUACUCGAGUGGCGAACGGGUGAGUAACACGUGGGUGAUCUGCCCUGCACUUCGGGAUAAGCCUGGGAAACUGGGUCUAAUACCGGAUAGGAGCCAUUUUUAGUGUGAUGGUUGGAAAGUUUUUUCGGUGUAGGAUGAGCUCGCGGCCUAUCAGCUUGUUGGUGGGGUAAUGGCCUACCAAGGCGGCGACGGGUAGCCGGCCUGAGAGGGUGGAAGGCCACAUUGGGACUGAGAUACGGCCCAGACUCCUACGGGAGGCAGCAGUGGGGAAUAUUGCACAAUGGGCGCAAGCCUGAUGCAGCGACGCCGCGUGGGGGAUGACGGCCUUCGGGUUGUAAACUCCUUUCGCUAGGGACGAAGCUUUUUGUGACGGUACCUAGAGAAGAAGCACCGGCUAACUACGUG
rnacentral:rRNA from 1 species